UAUAUUAUGGAGAAUGCACUGAGUUUUAAAAAAUGAUUAACUUCAAAUAUUACGAACUAAUUAAUGAAUUAUUAAAAUAAAAAAACUAAAUCUAAUAAUUAACAUAAAUAUUUAACAUUAAGAAUAUGCGUGAAUAAUUAAUAUCAAUGUUAUAAAUAAUGUUACAUAAACUUCAAUUAUAUAUCUGUUACGUUAUCAUGCAGAGGGGUCUGACUUGUAUUUUAUAAUAUGUUCUGUUGCACCGCACCUGUCGCAUUUACGAGGUCGAAAUUUUUUUUCAGUCGAUGGUAUUCUAGACGUAUGUGUAUGUCCAGGAGUACAUGGGCCGACUGCUGGUGGCAACAAGUUAUUCAAUGAGAGAAUAUGAUCAGGAACUUCCCACUCGACUUCAUUCGGUAUAGGAAAUAUGGUUUCGGCAUAUGCUGCUCUCCAAGAACCAGUCGUGUAAUAAGCACUGCAUAAGGUGUGUGGUGGAAUUCAUCUAUAAAUAGCCAUCGCUACUAUAUGUGUACACGGAAAACUCUACAACUGAAACUGUCUACACGUGCACGUGUUAUCAUUCAAGUUGAUGGUGUAUCCGAAAUUACGUGCACAUCUCGCGGAG
rnacentral:sRNA from 1 species